AAAGCCACCGGAUCGACGCCGCGGGUCACCACCAAGUAGUCGCGCAGGGCGAUGCUGUGACGGCCUUC
rnacentral:sRNA from 1 species